rnacentral:rRNA from 1 species
CCUACGGGGGGCAGCAGUAGGGAAUAUUGCUCAAUGGGGGAAACCCUGAAGCAGCAACGCCGCGUGGAGGAUGAAGGCUUUCGGAUUGUAAACUCCUUUUGUUAGAGAAGAUAAUGACGGUAUCUAACGAAUAAGCACCGGCUAUCUCCGUGCCAGCAGCCGCGGUAAUACGGGUGGUGCAAGCGGUACUCGGGAGCACUGGGCGUAAAGGGCGGGUAGGCGGGGGAGGAAGUCAGAUGUGGAAACCUAUGGCUGAAACGUAGAACUGCAUUUGGAAACGUUAUUCUAGGGUAUGGGGGUGGGAGGUGGGAUUCGUGGGGGAGGGGGAGAAGCGGGAGGGAAGAAGAGGGAUACUCAGUGGGGAGGGGGGCUGGUAGGACAGAACUGGCGGGGGUGGGCGGAAGCGUGGGGAGGAAACAGGAUUAGAUGCCCGGGGUAGUC